GCACUCGGCUCUAUUUAUCAUAAAACUAACUUUGUUUCUUUACACGUGGGGAGAUGAGAUUAAGAAGGGGAUUUCUACUAAAAAAAAAACACUAUGAACUACCACCACUAAACAUCCCGCCUCCUGUUGAGUAUGUUCAUACUAUCAAACUACCAAAAACAAAAUUCUCCCACACGUCGAGCGCUCCUCGGCCACCUCCUACUCUGAAGAAAAGACACAAUAAACAAGUGUGAGUUUUUAAAAUAAAAACUCAGCAAGUGGGCGGUUAGUCCUAACUUGGAUUUGGCCAAUAGCACGACAAAUAAGUAAACAAACUGUUAAUUUGCUGAAUCCACAGAAGUCUAGCUAUAACAAUCAUCCAAGGGGAGACGACACUCUGCCCUGAACCCCUCACACCCAACCUGGCAUCACGAGGUCCAUAAUCACCCAGGGGGAGCUGACACUCCACCCUGUCCCCCCUCGCACCCAACCAACCUGGCAUCACGAGGUCCCCUGAGAAGCUAUUUAGCCCUUCUCAGACCUCUAGAGAGAAUACCACUACUCUUCAUCAUCCCUCUCCAGGCAUCCCGACACCCGGGGUCUCACAUUGGCUCUUUCACCAACUUCACACAUUCACAAUUCCCUUGUUGCAGCACCAACAACUUCAGUAUGUGAACAACCACAAAUAUGUCUAAACAUACAUUAUUAAAUACUUCAAGGUAUAUAUAGGAACUCUCAUUAAAGGCAACACAGUGAGAGUUCAACAUUUUCCUGCAGAAAAUUCAGAAACUACCAACGUUGACAGAACUAGAUAAAGGCUACUGAGACAUUAGACUCCAUAUGUGUCAUGAGAAUCAAGUACAAGAGACACAACAACUAUUGCAUAUUCUCGGAUCAAAGCAGUCUAUGGACUAAAAUGAGCAGUUUCGAUCACAGACACAGAAAGUAUAUCUAAUCUUAUCGGAAUAUUAUGAAAUUUCAGUAUGUUACAGAAGAGACAUAGAUUAACAUUUUCUGUGGAGAAACCUAAGUCUAUUUCUCAAUGUAUUAAGAGCAAUAAUUUCUGUCUUCUUUCUAAAAUUCUGCAGCAACUUUCAGAUUUAGUACCUACAGAAGAAAUAUCGUUUCACCAUCUUAACCUUGACCAUUUGCUCUCAAAUUUUGAUAUGUUAUUCCUAAGGAUGUGUCCUACAACUUUCAUUAAGAGUUUAAUGUUCAAUUCUUUUUAGAAAAUUACAGAAAAUUCGUGGAAUCACCUACGGUAUUACUGUUUUCUAAAGUACAGCUUACUAGUUCAAGGUAAAUACUCUUACCAACACAUUUUCUCAUCAAUCUUACUAUAACUAGAUGUCGAAUCUAAUCCAAUGGAUUUUCUCUCAAGUAAACUUGUUCUUUUCCUUAUCUACAUCUUCAGAAUUUAAGGUGACACCAAAACAAAAGGUUUUCCAUCUCUAAUUCUCUAAAAUAGAAAGUACUGCACCGUUUUUCUUCAUCUUUAGCUCAACUAAACCAUGAGUUUCUCUACCAAACAUUCUUGUAGUAUCUCGGCACUUCUACAGCAUCCAAGGUAACUACAGCAUGAUAAAAACCGCACUUCAUCAUGCAUAUGGGAAAUAAAGAAGAUGGAGGGGCGAGUCGAGCUCGCGGCCCCCCUCAAUGUCGUGUUCUCGCCGACCCGCAUAGCGAAACGACCCAAAAUAGGUUGCGACUCCCUUCCCCCUCAAUCAACUGGAUGGCCCACACAGCAAACUCACGGCCUCUCGCCACCGUGGCUUCAUCAACAAAUAAAUCACAUCCCAGCUCCGAACAGAGCUUUAGUUCCCAAAUUUUCUCAUUCAACCCCAAACUCUACCCUGAUUUUCGCAUGCACAGCUAGGCACAACCAUUACACGAACCCAGAACCUUAAUCACCGCCCCACUUGCCUGGAUCCUUCACCGGCGGAAGAGGGAAGAAGCGUCGGGCGAGUCGGGUCUUCGUGACCGGCGGCGGGAGCUCCGAAUGGGAUGGGGCAGUGACGAGUUCGCUGCUGGACGGAGGCACAGGGCUACCAAGGUAGGGAUCGGUUCGGAUUUCGAGUGCAGAAAAAGAAAUAGAGGAAGAAAGCGGUGAGUGUCGUUCAAAAGGAAGGGCAGCCACCCUCCUCUUUUGCACUCCACCUGG
rnacentral:lncRNA from 1 species